UGGGGAAUUUUCCGCAAUGGGCGAAAGCCUGACGGAGCAAUACCGCGUGAGGGAGGAAGGCUCUUGGGUUGUAAACCUCUUUUCUCAGGGAAGAAAAAAAUGACGGUACCUGAGGAAUAAGCAUCGGCUAACUCCGUGCCAGCAGCCGCGGUAAUACGGAGGAUGCAAGCGUUAUCCGGAAUGAUUGGGCGUAAAGGGUCCGCAGGUGGCAUUGUUUGUCUGCUGUUAAAGAGUCACGCUCAACGUGAUCAAAGCAGUGGAAACUACAAAGCUAGAGUAUGAUCGGGGCAGAGGGAAUUCCUGGUGUAGCGGUGAAAUGCGUAGAUAUCAGGAAGAACACCGGUGGCGAAGGCGCUCUGCUAGGCCAAAACUGACACUGAGGGACGAAAGCUAGGGGAGCGAAUGGG
rnacentral:rRNA from 1 species